ACACACACACUGGACACACACACACACACACUGGACACACACACACACACACACACACACACACACACUGAACACACACUGAACACACACUGAACACACACAAACUGGACACAAAAUGGACACACACACUCAACACACACACUGAACAAACACACACAAACACAUUCUGGACACACGCACACUGGACAAACGAAAACACACACAGACUCACACACAUACACACACACACACUGGACACACACACACACACACACACACACACACACUGGACACACACACACACACACACACACACACACACACACACACACACACUGGUCAAACAAAAAUACACACACACACACACACUGGACACACACACACACACACACUGGACAAACAAAGUGGACAAACACACACACUGGACACACACACACACAAACACUGGACACACACACACACUGGACUCACACACACACACUGGACACACACACACACUGGACACACACACACACACACUGGACACACACACACACACACUGGACACACACACACACACACUGGACACACACACACACACACUGGACACACACACACACACUGGACACACACACACACACACUGGACACAC
rnacentral:lncRNA from 1 species